rnacentral:rRNA from 1 species
ACGGCUCAGUAACACGUAGUCAACCUACCCUUGGGACGGGGACAACGCCGGGAAACUGGCGAUAAUCCCCGAUAGGUGAGGGACGCUGGGAUGCUUCUUCGCUCAAAGCUCCGGCGCCCGAGGAUGGGACUGCGACCUAUCAGGCUGUUGGUGGUGUGACGGACCACCAAACCUACGACGGGUACGGGCGAUGGGAGUCGGAGCCUGGAGAUGGGGACUGAGACAAGGCCCCAGGCCCUACGGGGCGCAGCAGGCGCGAAAACUCCGCAAUGCGCGCAAGCGUGACGGGGGAACCCCAAGUGCCGUUGGUCUUUUGAUCGACGGCUUUUCGGAAGUCCAAUACGCUUCCGGAAUAAGGGCUGGGUAAGACUGGUGCCAGCCGCCGCGGUAACACCAGCAGCCCAAGUGGUGGCCGCGAUUAUUGGGCCUAAAGCGCUCGUAGCCGGAUCAGCAAGUCCUUUGUGAAAUCGGGCCGCCCAACGGUUCGGCGUGCAAAGGAUACUGUUGGUCUUGAGACCGGGAGAGGUCGGAGGUACUCCUGGGGUAGCGGUGAAAUGCUGUAAUCCUGGGGGGACCACCAGUGGCGAAGGCGUCCGACCAGAACGGAUCUGACGGUGAGGGGCGAAGGCUAGGGGAGCGAACGGGAUUAGAUACCCCGGUAGUCCUAGCUGUAAAGCAUGCGGGCCAGGUGUCUAGCGCUCCUUGAGGGCGCUAUGUGCCGGAGGGAAGCCGUUAAGCCC